rnacentral:rRNA from 1 species
UUAAGCGACUAAGCGUACACGGUGGAUGCCCUGGCAGUCAGAGGCGAUGAAGGACGUGCUAAUCUGCGAUAAGCGUCGGUGAGGUGAUAUGAACCGUUAUAACCGGCGAUUUCCGAAUGGGGAAACCCAGUGUGUUUCGACACACUAUCAUUAACUGAAUCCAUAGGUUAAUGAGGCGAACCGGGGGAACUGAAACAUCUAAGUACCCCGAGGAAAAGAAAUCAACCGAGAUUCCCCCAGUAGCGGCGAGCGAACGGGGAGGAGCCCAGAGCCUGAAUCAGUGUGUGUGUUAGUGGAAGCGUCUGGAAAGGCGCGCGAUACAGGGUGACAGCCCCGUACACAAAAAUGCACAUAUUGUGAGCUCGAUGAGUAGGGCGGGACACGUGGUAUCCUGUCUGAAUAUGGGGGGACCAUCCUCCAAGGCUAAAUACUCCUGACUGACCGAUAGUGAACCAGUACCGUGAGGGAAAGGCGAAAAGAACCCCGGCGAGGGGAGUGAAAAAGAACCUGAAACCGUGUACGUACAAGCAGUGGGAGCCUCUUAAUGGGGUGACUGCGUACCUUUUGUAUAAUGGGUCAGCGACUUAUAUUCUGUAGCAAGGUUAACCGAAUAGGGGAGCCGAAGGGAAACCGAGUCUUAACUGGGCGUUAAGUUGCAGGGUAUAGACCCGAAACCCGGUGAUCUAGCCAUGGGCAGGUUGAAGGUUGGGUAACACUAACUGGAGGACCGAACCGACUAAUGUUGAAAAAUUAGCGGAUGACUUGUGGCUGGGGGUGAAAGGCCAAUCAAACCGGGAGAUAGCUGGUUCUCCCCGAAAGCUAUUUAGGUAGCGCCUCGUGAAUUCAUCUCCGGGGGUAGAGCACUGUUUCGGCAAGGGGGUCAUCCCGACUUACCAACCCGAUGCAAACUGCGAAUACCGGAGAAUGUUAUCACGGGAGACACACGGCGGGUGCUAACGUCCGUCGUGAAGAGGGAAACAACCCAGACCGCCAGCUAAGGUCCCAAAGUCAUGGUUAAGUGGGAAACGAUGUGGGAAGGCCCAGACAGCCAGGAUGUUGGCUUAGAAGCAGCCAUCAUUUAAAGAAAGCGUAAUAGCUCACUGGUCGAGUCGGCCUGCGCGGAAGAUGUAACGGGGCUAAACCAUGCACCGAAGCUGCGGCAGCGACACUAUGUGUUGUUGGGUAGGGGAGCGUUCUGUAAGCCUGUGAAGGUGGCCUGUGAGGGUUGCUGGAGGUAUCAGAAGUGCGAAUGCUGACAUAAGUAACGAUAAAGCGGGUGAAAAGCCCGCUCGCCGGAAGACCAAGGGUUCCUGUCCAACGUUAAUCGGGGCAGGGUGAGUCGACCCCUAAGGCGAGGCCGAAAGGCGUAGUCGAUGGGAAACAGGUUAAUAUUCCUGUACUUGGUGUUACUGCGAAGGGGGGACGGAGAAGGCUAUGUUGGCCGGGCGACGGUUGUCCCGGUUUAAGCGUGUAGGCUGGUUUUCCAGGCAAAUCCGGAAAACCAAGGCUGAGGCGUGAUGACGAGGCACUACGGUGCUGAAGCGACAAAUGCCCUGCUUCCAGGAAAAGCCUCUAAGCAUCAGGUAACAUCAAAUCGUACCCCAAACCGACACAGGUGGUCAGGUAGAGAAUACCAAGGCGCUUGAGAGAACUCGGGUGAAGGAACUAGGCAAAAUGGUGCCGUAACUUCGGGAGAAGGCACGCUGAUAUGUAGGUGAAGCGACUUGCUCGUGGGGCUGAAAUCAGUCGAAGAUACCAGCUGGCUGCAACUGUUUAUUAAAAACACAGCACUGUGCAAACACGAAAGUGGACGUAUACGGUGUGACGCCUGCCCGGUGCCGGAAGGUUAAUUGAUGGGGUUAGCGGCAACGCGAAGCUCUUGAUCGAAGCCCCGGUAAACGGCGGCCGUAACUAUAACGGUCCUAAGGUAGCGAAAUUCCUUGUCGGGUAAGUUCCGACCUGCACGAAUGGCGUAAUGAUGGCCAGGCUGUCUCCACCCGAGACUCAGUGAAAUUGAACUCGCUGUGAAGAUGCAGUGUACCCGCGGCAAGACGGAAAGACCCCGUGAACCUUUACUAUAGCUUGACACUGAACAUUGAGCCUUGAUGUGUAGGAUAGGUGGGAGGCUUUGAAGUGUGGACGCCAGUCUGCAUGGAGCCGACCUUGAAAUACCACCCUUUAAUGUUUGAUGUUCUAACGUUGGCCCGUAAUCCGGGUUGCGGACAGUGUCUGGUGGGUAGUUUGACUGGGGCGGUCUCCUCCUAAAGAGUAACGGAGGAGCACGAAGGUUGGCUAAUCCUGGUCGGACAUCAGGAGGUUAGUGCAAUGGCAUAAGCCAGCUUAACUGCGAGCGUGACGGCGCGAGCAGGUGCGAAAGCAGGUCAUAGUGAUCCGGUGGUUCUGAAUGGAAGGGCCAUCGCUCAACGGAUAAAAGGUACUCCGGGGAUAACAGGCUGAUACCGCCCAAGAGUUCAUAUCGACGGCGGUGUUUGGCACCUCGAUGUCGGCUCAUCACAUCCUGGGGCUGAAGUAGGUCCCAAGGGUAUGGCUGUUCGCCAUUUAAAGUGGUACGCGAGCUGGGUUUAGAACGUCGUGAGACAGUUCGGUCCCUAUCUGCCGUGGGCGCUGGAGAACUGAGGGGGGCUGCUCCUAGUACGAGAGGACCGGAGUGGACGCAUCACUGGUGUUCGGGUUGUCAUGCCAAUGGCACUGCCCGGUAGCUAAAUGCGGAAGAGAUAAGUGCUGAAAGCAUCUAAGCACGAAACUUGCCCCGAGAUGAGUUCUCCCUGAGACUUAGAGUCUCCUGAAGGAACGUUGAAGACGACGACGUUGAUAGGCCGGGUGUGUAAGCGCAGCGAUGCGUUGAGCUAACCGGUACUAAUGAACCGUGAGGCUUAACCUU